GGCUUGUUGUAAAUAUUAUUAUGUUGUGGUGUCUAUUUCAUGACAGAGUUGCAGAUUUUAACUGCAAUUUAGAUGAAAUGAAAUACUCCUUGUGGUCAGUAAAAUGGUCAAAUGACGUCAUCCGAUGUAUUUAUUUAUAUCCGUUACUUAUCUGUUGUAAUUAUUGUUUUCAUUACUUGUAAUUAAAUGUAUUUUAAUUAAGAUGCUAUUAUUACUACCCGUCAUUUCUUGAAUGAUUCUUCAACACAUGAACCAAAAUAAAUUUCAUUUAAUAUUGUUAUCGU
rnacentral:misc_RNA from 1 species